GAUGAACGCUGGCGGCGUGCCUAAUACAUGCAAGUCGAGCGAAUGGAUUGAGAGCUUGCUCUUAUGAAGUUAGCGGCGGACGGGUGAGUAACACGUGGGUAACCUGCCCAUAAGACUGGGAUAACUCCGGGAAACCGGGGCUAAUACCGGAUAACAUUUUGAACCGCAUGGUUCGAAAUUGAAAGGCGGCUUCGGCUGUCACUUAUGGAUGGACCCGCGUCGCAUUAGCUAGUUGGGGAGGUAACGGCUCACCAAGGCAACGAUGCGUAGCCGACCUGAGAGGCUGAUCGGCCACACUGGGACUGAGACACGGCCCAGACUCCUACGGGAGGCAGCAGUAGGGAAUCUUCCGCAAUGGACGAAAGUCUGACGGAGCAACGCCGCGUGAGUGAUGAAGGCUUUCGGGUCGUAAAACUCUGUUGUUAGGGAAGAACAAGUGCUAGUUGAAUAAGCUGGCACCCUGACGGUACCUAACCAGAAAGCCACGGCUAACUACGUGCCAGCCGCCGCGGUAA
rnacentral:rRNA from 1 species